rnacentral:rRNA from 1 species
UACGUAGGGGGCAAGCGUUGUCCGGAAUCAUUGGGCGUAAAGAGCGCGUAGGCGGCCCAGUAAGUCCGCUCUGAAAGUCAGGGGCUCAACCCCUGGAUGCGGGUGGAUACUGCUGGGCUAGAGUCCGGAAGAGGUGAGUGGAAUUCCUGGUGUAGCGGUGAAAUGCGCAGAUAUCGGGAGGAACACCUGUGGCGAAAGCGGCUCACUGGACAGUAACUGACGCUGAUGCACGAAAGCUAGGGGAGCAAACAGG